GACGAACGCUGGCGGCGUGCUUAACACAUGCAAGUCGAACGGAAAGGCCCUGCUUUUGUGGGGUGCUCGAGCGGCGAACGGGUGAGUAACACGUGAGUAACCUGCCCUUGACUUUGGGAUAACUUCAGGAAACUGGGGCUAAUACCGGAGAGGAGCUCCUGCUGCAUGGUGGGGGUUGGAAAGUUUCGGCGGUUGGGGAUGGACUCGCGGCUUAUCAGCUUGUUGGUGGGGUAGUGGCUUACCAAGGCUUUGACGGGUAGCCGGCCUGAGAGGGUGACCGGCCACAUUGGGACUGAGAUACGGCCCAGACUCCUACGGGAGGCAGCAGUGGGGAAUAUUGCACAAUGGGCGGAAGCCUGAUGCAGCAACGCCGCGUGCGGGAUGACGGCCUUCGGGUUGUAAACCGCUUUCGCCUGUGACGAAGCGUGAGUGACGGUAAUGGGUAAAGAAGCACCGGCUAACUACGUG
rnacentral:rRNA from 1 species